AUUGAACGCUGGCGGCAGGCUUAACACAUGCAAGUCGAGCGAGCGGCGGACGGGUGAGUAAUGUCUGGGAAACUGCCUGAUGGAGGGGGAUAACUACUGGAAACGGUAGCUUAUCACCCAUACUCUAAAUUUCGCCCAGAUGGGAUUAGCUAGUUGGUGGGGGAAUGGCUCACCUAGGCGACGACCCCUAGCCGGUCUGAGAGGAUGACCAGCCACACUGGAACGGGGACACGGUCCAGACCCCUACGGGAGGCGGCAGUGGGGAGUAUUGCACAAGGGGCGCAGGCCUGAGGCAGCAAUGCCGCGUGGGUGAAGAAGGCCUUCGGGUUGUAAAGCACUUUCAGCGAGGAGGCGUUACUCGCAGAAGAAGCACCGGCUAACUCCGUGCCAGCAGCCGCGGUAAUUC
rnacentral:rRNA from 1 species